AUGGCCCCCAUGGUGCAGGAGCUGCGCGGCCGCCUCGGUGGCACCGUGCUCGUGGGCCAGGUCCAGGGCUGUCCUGUGGGAUGGGGACGGGGACAGCGGGGUGGCACUGGGGGACACGAGGACACGCGUCCCCCCCCCGUGUCCCCGGGGCCGCUCACUUCUUGUCCCCGUCGGCGAGGUCGGGGUCGGCGCCGCUCUGCAGGAGCUGGGCGCAGACGGCGGCGUGGUUCCCCCGUGCCGCCAGCAUCAGGGGGGUCUGGCCAUGCUGGGGGGGGGGCACAGAGCUUCUGUCAGCCCCUGCCACCCCCCCAGGUCCCCGUAACCCCCCCAGGUCCCUGUCACCCCCCCAGGUCCCCGCUCACGGUGUCGGUGACGUCCAGCGGGGCCCCGUGUGCGCAGAGCAGCAGCACGCUGGAGGCGCAGCCCGAGGAGGCUGCAGGGGGGGGGAGCAUCAGCACAGGAUCGGCUCCCCCCUGGGUGGGUGGGGGGCGAGGUGUGAAGCCCCCCACCCGUCCCAGCCCAUGGUGGGCCCCCCCCGGCACUCACCGGCCCAGUGCAGGGGGGUGCGGCGCUGCCUGUCCACGUGGCGCGUGUUGGCACCGUACUGCGGGGGACGGGGGCACGGGAAGGGGGCUGGGGGAGUCCUGCCCUGCGCCCCCGGCCCCGUUCCCAGCCUUGUCCCCAUCCCCAUCCCUUUUCUUGUCCCCAUUGUCAGCCCCAUUGCUGUCCCAGGCCCCGUUCUUAUCUCACUUCUCACCCCAAUCCCUGUCCCUAUGCGCAUCCCAAUCCCACUCCGUGUCCCUGUCCUUGUCCCCAUCCCCAUCUCCAUCCCCAUCCCCAUCCCCAUCCUCAUCCUCAUCCUCAUCCUCAUCCUCAUCCUCAUCCUCAUCCCACUCUCGGUCUCGUGUUUAUUCCCAUCCCAUCCCAUUCCAUCCCACCCCAUUCCCAUCCCACCUCCCUCUCCAGCCCCAUUCCUGUCCCCAUCCUGUCCCCAUCCCGUCCCCGUCCCCGUCCCCGUGGGGCCGGUACCUGCAGCAGGACCUUGACGCACUGGGGCUGGCAGCCGAUGGUGGCCAGGUGCAGCGCGGUGCUGCCUGCAAGAGCGGCUGGCACCGGGGGCCACGGGGACACCGGGGGGGGGGGACAACACCCCCCCAGCUGCAAACAGGGGGGGGACACCCCCCCAGCUGCAAGCACGGGCACCCCACACCCCUGGGACCCCAGGGACCCCCCACCCCAACCCCGCACAUCGUGCGCUCCCGGUCACCCCAAGGGGACACCGGGGCCGGGCACCGACCGUGUCCCCCCCAAACUGGGGUUCAGUGGGGGGGGUCCCCAAACUGGGGUUCAGUGGGGGGGGGUCCCCACGGUGCCCCCCGCUCACCGUCAUCGUUUUGCGCAUCGGGGGGGGCCCCGUGGGCCAGCAGCAGCGUCAGGCACUCGGUCAGCCCCUCGGCGGCGGCCAGGUGGAGGCUGCAGGGGGGGGCGUGCGAAGGGGUGGCUGCCACCCUGACCCCCUCCUCAUCCCCUCCGUGCCCCCCCCCCCCAGGAUUGGGUUUUUUGGGGGGGGGUCCGUACGUACGCGGAUUGCCCGGCGGCAGUUGA
rnacentral:lncRNA from 1 species